UCCCUGGUGGCUCAAAUGGUAAAGCAUCUGCCUGCAAUGCAGGAGAGACCUGGGUUCAAUCCCUGGGUCGGGAA
rfam:TPA: Bos taurus chromosome 12, whole genome shotgun sequence.